rnacentral:rRNA from 1 species
AUCCCUUAUUUGCCAGCGCGUAGUGGCGGGAACUCUAAGGAGACUGCCGGUGAUAAACCGGAGGAAGGUGGGGACGACGUCAAGUCAUCAUGGCCCUUACGGGAUGGGCUACACACGUGCUACAAUGGCAGGUACAGAGGGCAGCAAUACCGCGAGGUGGAGCGAAUCCCACAAAGCUUGUCGUAGUCCGGAUUGGAGUCUGCAACUCGACUCCAUGAAGUCGGAAUCGCUAGUAAUCGUAGAUCAGAAUGCUACGGUGAAUACGUUC